UGGGGAAUAUUGGACAAUGGGCGGAAGCCUGAUCCAGCCAUGCCGCGUGUGUGAAGAAGGCCUUUUGGUUGUAAAGCACUUUAAGCGAGGAGGAGGCUACUAGUAUUAAUACUACUGGAUAGUGGACGUUACUCGCAGAAUAAGCACCGGCUAACUCUGUGCCAGCAGCCGCGGUAAUACAGAGGGUGCGAGCGUUAAUCGGAUUUACUGGGCGUAAAGCGUGCGUAGGCGGCUUUUUAAGUCGGAUGUGAAAUCCCCGAGCUUAACUUGGGAAUUGCAUUCGAUACUGGGAAGCUAGAGUAUGGGAGAGGAUGGUAGAAUUCCAGGUGUAGCGGUGAAAUGCGUAGAGAUCUGGAGGAAUACCGAUGGCGAAGGCAGCCAUCUGGCCUAAUACUGACGCUGAGGUACGAAAGCAUGGGGAGCAAACAGGAUUAGAUACCCUGGUAGUCCAUGCCGUAAACGAUGUCUACUAGCCGUUGGGGCCUUUGAGGCUUUAGUGGCGCAGCUAACGCGAUAAGUAGACCGCCUGGG
rnacentral:rRNA from 1 species